CACGUAGGGCGCAAGCGUUGUCCGGAAUUAUUGGGCGUAAAGAGCUCGUAGGCGGUCUGUUGCGUCCGCUGUGAAAACUCGGGGCUUAACCCCGAGCCUGCAGUGGAUACGGGCAGACUAGAGGUAGGUAGGGGAGAAUGGAAUUCCCGGUGUAGCGGUGAAAUGCGCAGAUAUCAGGAGGAACACCGGUGGCGAAGGCGGGUCUCUGGGAAACAACUGACGCUGAGGAACGAAAGCGUGGGUAGCAAACAGG
rnacentral:rRNA from 1 species